AAGGCUACGAGGAGCAAAGAGGUGGAAGAGGUGGAAGAGGUCGAAGAUAAAGGAACAGAGAAAAUCGUCGGUGGAAAGAGAAGGCAAAUCGGAAAAGAAAAAUAGAAACGUUGCGAAAGAAGGAGAGAUCGCUUGCUUCUGCCGGCGAGAAGAACCGAGGGGAAAAAACCGAAGAGGCAGAGAGACAGAGAGAGAGAGAGAGAUGCAGAAACUCUUUCUAUUAUCUAUCUAUUAAUAAAGAAGAUUCGAGUAGACUCGGUUCGUUAAUCUAUUACUUCGCUUGGGAUCGUUCGAGCCUUGGGGACGAAGAAAAUCGCUCGAUACGUGCUCGGACGAUAGGUCGGCGGAAGGAAAGGAACGGGAAAAAUAGAGUCAUCAGUCGUCUGAUCCGAGAUCGACGGUUGCGAGAGGCAUUUAAAAAACAGCUAAUUAUCGUAUAAAUGUUUUACGCGACACACGUACAUUCUAUUCCGUGUACGAUUAAAUAAAAGGUUGGAUCGAACGAAAUAAUAUCGAAAUACAGAAGAAAGGACUCUUUGUUCGUUGUAAGUAACGGGGCUACAGCUAAUCUGGAUAUCGAGCAGUCUUGUGUCGCAUAGGACGAAAAGAUUCUUAGCGGUAGAAAAGAAAUUGAAAUUAACGUAUGUACAAGUUGACGAUACAAAAGACGAAACAAAGCGGAGAAAGAAAUCACGUACGUAUACAUGGUAUAUCGUGUGCUGUUCGAUCGAGAGGAGCGUCGAGAAGAAGGGCAUGGAAGCGAGAAGAAAGGAGGAAACGCGAAAGAGGGAAGAGUAGAAGAGAGAAGAGAGAGAGAGAAGAGAGAGAGAGAGAGAGAGAGUGUGUGUGUGUGUGAGAGAAGAGAGGAGAAAGAAGAGAAAGACGAAGGCAAGAGGGAAAAACGAUCGACUAUAGACGCACGGUUGCGCGAGAGACGGAGAGGGAAGGAAAAGAAAGAGAAAGCGGGGGAAAGCGAGACGGACGAGAAGGACGCGAGAGGAACGAAAAGAGAGAAAGAGGAAGGUGGAGGGAGGCAGAGGCGAAGGUAAGUCAAAUGUUAGCGAGUGCACGGCGAUGGAACGUCUUUAAGACCAAGGAGGGACUUAUAUAAGAAAGCAAGAUGGCAACCGGUUGUCCCUGAGCCACGACCGGCGUUUAUUUGCACAUUUUUAUCUAUUUUUCGAGCCGACCAAAAAACUUCGCGCAACCAGUUCGCCCGAUGGCGCACAUGGGCGCUCCGAGAUGCCGAGAUUUUUCUUUCCCAUGGAUGGACGCGUUUUUAUUGUCACCGAAGGUGUCACGCCAUUCUCCUUACGCACUCGCUUUUAUACGAGCUUGUACCAUUGGAGUCGAACGCGCUCGAUUUUCCGUUAACACCGGAAACGGUUAUUCCAAUUUUUACCCAUCUACGAUCACGCGACUUCGUAGAUAUUUCGCGAAAUUUCUGCGACUCGUGGUACGGCUCCGAAUAACGCGGCGGUACGAGCCAGACUACGUUCGAUAAAAUAUCGCAGAACGACAGCUAUGGAUAACAACGAUAAUAGAUGUUAGAUAUAGUAAAAAAACAAAAACAAAAAAAACAAAAAAAAACGAAAACCCAUGGUUCUAGGAUCGAGCUGAGUUUAUCUCGCGAGAAUAUCUCGCGAUACUACAGAAAACGUCACAUCGAAUCUGAUACGAGAUUCUUGGUUACUUGGUGCAAAUCUUGUACAGUCCUUGAACGGACAGUAUUAUUCAUUCCAUUUUUACAGUGAUGAAAUGGCCAUUUAAAUGUCUCGCGUUAUCUUGUUUCUUGCUUAAGUAAUAGCAAUACUAUUCGUAUUUAACGAGGUUGCAUGUUUUCGCAUUAAAUCCACUGUUUAAUGGCUCUUCUACUUAACGUAAACUCUAUAUCGCUUCGACCUGAUAUCUUCUGUAUGAUUUUAUCGAAUCUACCAGAUUCUUGAUUACAGACUAAAAACUAAAAACUAUCGCGUCCGUUUCCUUCCCUGUACUUGCAAUUGCUUCCCUUGCUAGUAACAGGUUGUGGCAAUUUCCUUCAUUUCCGAAAGCUUACGAAAUUUCCUUUCUAUUCUUUCGAAAAUCUCGAUGGAAUUUUUCUUUCAACGCGAUAAACGGUCCAACGAAUUUUGUCUCAAAGUACGAUACGUGUUUCGCUUGUCGAUCUUUUGGAAAUGUUUCUUUCGCGAACGUUUUUCUAUUCCCGUAACAAUGAUAUGUCGCCUCGUUGCACCGAUGUUUGCAUUUAACGAAAGAAGAUCACGAGACGCGUCUGAAACUUGGUCGUUCGAAACAUAAUAUUCGCGGUAUAUCGGCGCAAUCGCGAAAACCAUAAAUUGCGAGAGCAACGAAUGCUCGAGAGAGUCGAUUAAACGCGUCAGCUUAUCGUCCAUUAAAAUCUCUCCAUCACAGGCCGAACCGCGGUUCGCCCGAGAAAAUAAAAUUCAAUUAGGAGAAUCGGUGUAUAGCCCGGAUCCUUCGCUGAUUGUAACUACGUAGGUGCGUAGUGCAAUGGAACGAGACAAAACGUAACUUAUACUUUCGCACGGCCGAGCUCUUCGAAGGAAAGGACAAAGUUUCCCGUGGAAAAUUAGCGAAGAGAAUGAAAGGAUGGUAGUACGGUCAUGGUACUCUGUGACCGAUGCCGGCAGAUGUCCAUCCGGUAUCAUUUGCAUGGGCAUCUGUGGAGGUAUCGAAUGUCCCGUCGUAAUUUUCAUUCAAACACAAAUCACUCGUUGGUCGCAUGGCGUAUUAUUGAAACAAGCAAUUCGCCCCCUUCCGACGUCGCUCUUUUUCACCGUUUAUGUCCGAAGGACCGUACGACCGAUCGUUUGCUCCUCGUGUUUGCUCACAUGUGACUGCAACGUCGUGAAACGACGUAUUUGCCUCGCCGACGCGCGCCCCGUAUACCAGCUACUAAUAAAAAAUGAUCGACUAUAGAGCAUAUCGGUCGGUUCGAUAAGGACGCGUCUUGUUCCUCGUUAUUUUCAUCAAUCGAAAUUUCAAUGAAUUUUCACGAAUAAAAAGUUCGCGUUAAAGUAUACAUAAAGAUGUUCGUUUUCCCAAUAAAAAACAAAAAAAAAAAAAUAA